rnacentral:lncRNA from 1 species
AUAAAAGCCAGGAUGUCACCCCAAAAGAGGAGAGCUCAAUAUGGCCAAAAGGGAGGUUGCCCAAAUUAGUCACUAGACACCCUGCUGGAACAGAAGAGACAAAAUUGUAGCAGAGAGAAAACAACACCUGCAUUGAAUCCAAGACACAAGGAUAGGAUGUGACUGAGUAAGACGUGGCUCACCUGAGAGACUGAGAGAACGCGGGACAGCAGGCGAAGGGGAAAAGUCGGGAUUGACUUGGAUUGUUAAGGAGUUGGCUCCUAGUGAACGCAGACAUCAUGUAUGAGUGCCUAGAAGCAAGGUUGGUUGCAACUCAACUGUGUUUCAUCUUCAGUUCUUCUGGAAUUCAGGGUGAUGGAGCAGACCCUAUGUGGAGCACUUUCCUGUUUCAAUGGGUCCCGAUAUCCCAGGAUAGGAAGUGAUGUUCCACAGCUGGAGAUGAUCACCCAUGUUCCAUCACACCAUUUAGAUCAACCCUCAGUGAAUUCCCAGAACUUCUCCAAAAGUUCAGAAUCAUUCAUUUCCUCUCUCCCUUUGCGAUGGAUACAUUUUACUCAGUAUAGAUAAAUUCUGAGGUUUAUUAUUAAUAUACAAGCAUAAUGUAAGA